AAAGCGAGCGGCGGAUGGGUGAGUAACACGUGGGGAACCUGCCCCAUAGUCUGGGAUACCACUUGGAAACAGGUGCUAAUACCGGAUAAGAAAGCAGAUCGCAUGAUCAGCUUUUAAAAGGCGGCGUAAGCUGUCGCUAUGGGAUGGCCCCGCGGUGCAUUAGCUAGUUGGUAAGGUAAAGGCUUACCAAGGCGAUGAUGCAUAGCCGAGUUGAGAGACUGAUCGGCCACAUUGGGACUGAGACACGGCCCAAACUCCUACGGGAGGCAGCAGUAGGGAAUCUUCCACAAUGGACGCAAGUCUGAUGGAGCAACGCCGCGUGAGUGAAGAAGGUUUUCGGAUCGUAAAGCUCUGUUGUUGGUGAAGAAGGAUAGAGGUAGUAACUGGCCUUUAUUUGACGGUAAUCAACCAGAAAGUCACGGCUAACUACGUGCCAGCAGCCGCGGUAAUACGUAGGUGGCAAGCGUUGUCCGGAUUUAUUGGGCGUAAAGCGAGCGCAGGCGGAAGAAUAAGUCUGAUGUGAAAGCCCUCGGCUUAACCGAGGAACUGCAUCGGAAACUGUUUUCUUGAGUGCAGAAGAGGAGAGUGGAACUCCAUGUGUAGCGGUGGAAUGCGUAGAUAUAAUGAAGAACACCAGUGGCGAAGGCGGCUCUCUG
rnacentral:rRNA from 1 species